rnacentral:lncRNA from 1 species
UUUCAUAAUCCAGUUGUCAACUUCCAGUGGCUCGAUGGUCCCUUUAAAGGCUAAAAAAGUUAGUUUUUUAAACUCGACGAUGUUGUUUCUCUGCAUCGGAUGUUCUCCAUGUCCAGGUGUCGGUAGAGGAUGCUGACGUGGCUGCACAUGUUGUUGUUGAAGUAACUGUUGCUAUAUUUGUACUACUCCAAUCAGAAUUUGCAUUAAUUGAGUCAUGUUCACUUCUUCCUGCA